CUGGGCUCCCUAUGUUAAUGACGUUUCUGCGGUCUUCCCUAAUAAGAUAUUGCGGGCUCAUCAAUAACAAAGAUGGCGACUUUUAUCGAAGGAAAAGGAGAAGAAAAAGGACGGGAAAAAGACCAUUUCAUUCAUGUUUAUUAAUCGGAGACUUACGUAACAAUCAAUACAACAUGGACAGAGAGAUCCAAUUAAACCAGAAAUCCAACACAAACCGACAAACCAGAUUGUCAUACAAGGGAAAACAGCAUCUUUUUAUUGUAAUGCCACUGGAGUACCUGAGCCCAYRAUAUCAUGGAGAUUCAGCGGUAGUUCAACUCCCAAACACACUGGGAACAAACUUGUGAUUGACAACAUACAAAAUACUGAAGAAUAYGAAGGAAGGUAUACAUGUAUYGCAAGCAGCARGGCUGGGAAARCAGAAGAAUCUGCAKCACUAACUGUACUUGUUCCACCAUCAAAAAACGCUGAUUUGCCCCAAGGUGUCAUGCUACAGCU